CCAAUAGCGUAUAUUAAAGUUGUUGCAGUUAAAAAGCUCGUAGUUGAAUUUCGGGGUUAGUAGGUUGGUCAUGCCUCUGGUAUGUACUGGUCUCACUGAUUCCUCCUUCCUGAUGAACCUUAAUGCCAUUAAUUUGGUGUUUUGGGGAAUUUGGACUGUUACUUUGAAAAAAUUAGAGUGUUUAAAGCAAGCUAACGCUUGAAUACAUUAGCAUGGAAUAAUGAAAUAGGACGUUCGAUCCUAUUUUGUUGGUUUCUAGGAUUGACGUAAUGAUUAAUAGGGAUAGUUGGGGGCAUUAGUAUUCAAUUGUCAGAGGUGAAAUUCUUGGAUUUAUUGAAGACUAACUACUGCGAAAGCAUUUGCCAAGGAUGUUUUCAUUAAUCAAGAACGAAAGUUAGGGGAUCGAAGACGAUCAGAUACCGUCGUAGUCUUAACCAUAAACUAUGCCGACUAGGGAUCGGAUGAUGCUAAUUUUUUAAUGACUCAUUCGGCGCCUUACG
rnacentral:misc_RNA from 1 species